rnacentral:antisense_RNA from 1 species
CUUGAUCGAUCCCAAGAGCAGUGGCUCGGCACGGUCUUGCCCGUAGGUCGCCAACAACGCCUGGGCCUC